UGCAAGAAAAGUGUUGAGUGAAAACACGAGAGUGAGCAAAGCACAAAAGUGAGAAGCAGUUAGGCUUCAGUUUGUGCAGAAAAUUAACGAGAGAAAAAUUGAGAGAUUGUCUUUGUAUAGGCAAAUAAAAUACAGAGAGUAUAUUUGUUAUAUCCAUUUUCUUCUCUUGUUGAUAUAGUAAAAGAAUUGGUGUGGGUUUGUGGACGUAGGCACGAUUGCCGAACCACAUAAAUUCUUGUGUCAUUUGCACUUAUUAUUUUUUGCUACAUUUAUUUCUUCUCAGUUCAAAUUAUUUUGUGUCCCACUGAUCCUGGCGGAAUUAGUAACGGUCUAAUUUCCUAACAGCCUAAAUGUUCUUGCACUAGAAAAACAUCUCAGUUCUUUGUGACGAUCUCUUGAACUUUAUUGACUUUCUUGCGAAGAAAAAUUCUGGAAGGCAUUCGUUAUUAAAAACCAAUGCCUACCAGUGUGAAACGGUUGUUCUGAUUUUGACUGCAUCCUUCGGCCUUUGACAUUGGCGGCUGAGUAGUGACUACUGACUAAUCUACCAGAGCAUGAAUCUGAAUGGAUUACCGACUAAAACAAGUAUUUAAGGAAUUGAUUUUACUCUUGCUUUUUUGGCUGAUCAUUGAAAGACAAUGGAAGGAGUUUCUAGAUUAUAAUGACACAAUUGGGGUUCAUAUUUCAUGACGAUGCCAGGAAGCUUGACAAAACUGCCAAAAAUCGCUACUCAGUGUAGCUUCACGAUUAAAGAUAAAAAGAAAUGGUUGAUGCCACCGUAGUGUCACGACCCGCUCGAUCUUGGCACAAGAAGAUCGAGAAAUUUAAAAUGUUGACGAGUUGGGGCUAACCGGAAUAUUCUAGACUCCCACAAGUGCAUGAAGAUUGCUAGAAUAUGGUGGGACAUUCUAGAAGCCUACAAGCCCCUCACUUGGUAGAUUAUUCUAGAUCAUCCUAGUUUAGUCCAUAGAUAUUUUAAUGUAGAUAUUUGUAUAGAUAAUUCUAGAUGUGUAAUCUAGACCGUUGGAUAGAAAAGAUCCUAGCCAUCCAUUUGAGGAGGCUACCACUAUAAAUAGCUUGGUAGGAUUCAUUUGAAGGAUCAAGAGAGUGAAAUUGUAAAG